rnacentral:rRNA from 1 species
AUUGAACGCUGGCGGCAUGCUUUACACAUGCAAGUCGAACGGUAACAGGCCGCAAGGUGCUGACGAGUGGCGAACGGGUGAGUAAUGCAUCGGAACGUGCCCAGUCGUGGGGGAUAACGCAGCGAAAGCUGCGCUAAUACCGCAUACGAUCUAUGGAGGAAAGCGGGGGACCGUAAGGCCUCGCGAGAUUGGAGCGGGCGAUGUCAGAGUAGGUAGUUGGUGGGGUAAAGGCUCACCAAGCCAACGAUCUGUAGGUGGUCUGAGAGGACGACCAGCCACACUGGGACUGAGACACGGCCCAGACUCCUACGGGAGGCAGCAGUGGGGAAUUUUGGACAAUGGGCGCAAGCCUGAUCCAGCAAUGCCGCGUGCAGGAAGAAGGCCUUCUGGUUGUAAACUGCUUUUGUACGGAACGAAACGGUCCUGGUUAAUACCUGGGGCUAAUGACGGUACCGUAAGAAUAAGCACCGGCUAACUACGUGCCAGCCGCCGCCGUAACAC